AAUAACAUCUCUGCAGACUCUUAAAACCAUGGAAGCAUGAGGAGUGAUUUAGAAGCAAAGUAUCUAAAGAAAACAGAAAAUAUCUGAACUAUCAGCUUCCCAGUAGUCAGUGAGCCGAUAAGUAUUAGACGUGUGACGGAAGAUACCCACACUUAUCUGCAGGCAGGCUUUCAGAAAAUUUAAGGAGGCUUUCAGCCAGUGGAAACAAAGGAUUUUUCUAAAGCCUUCCAAUAACAGAGGAGAAGAAAUAAUUAUUCUAUCACUUUGGGAAGUGAACCUGAUGGAAAGGAUC
rnacentral:lncRNA from 1 species